UACGGAGGGUGCAAGCGUUAUCCGGAUUCACUGGGUUUAAAGGGGUGCGUAGGUGGGAAUGUAAGUCAGUGGUGAAAUCUCCGUGCUUAACAUGGAAACUGCCAUUGAUACUAUGUUUCUUGAAUCUUCCGGAGGUCAGCGGAAUAUGUCAUGUAGCGGUGAAAUGCUUAGAUAUGACAUAGAACACCAAUUGCGAAGGCAGCUGAUUACAGGGGCAUUGACACUGAGGCACGAAAGCGUGGGGAUCAAACAGG
rnacentral:rRNA from 1 species